rnacentral:lncRNA from 1 species
AGAAACAGGCUUGUCGGAGGAGCUAAUGCCCAUCUGUAUCUAUUCUCAUGGGUGUAAAACUGUUGGGAGAAGCAUCAGAAAAGAUCUUGUUCAAGUCAUGUAGAGCCCCCUCUGCACCAGAGCUCAGUGGCUCUGCUGACACAGGCUGGUGAGUGGAGAAGGGGCCUUUAACCCUCAGUUUGUGGGUGAUCCUCACGUUGUAGGCUCUACUUCUGGAUUCUUAAUUCUGCAUGCCUGCUUUCUAACUUUUAGAGCUCUGGUCCUACAUCCCUUCAUGUCAUAGGCCUGGGGUCUUGGCCUGUGUGUGCUGUCCACUCCUAGGCAAUGCAGAGGUGAGAGACAACCAGGAGAAA